UGGGGGAUAUUGCACAAUGGGCGAAAGCCUGAUGCAGCGACGCCGCGUGGGGGAUGAAGGCCUUCGGGUUGUAAACUUCUUUUGCUCUGAACAAGGCAUGCUAAUGGGUGUGUUGAGUGUAGGGGUUGAUUAGCGCCGGCUAACUACGUGCCAGCAGCCGCGGUAAUACGUAGGGCGCGAGCGUUGUCCGGAAUUAUUGGGCGUAAAGGGCUUGUAGGUGGCUGGUUGCGUCUGUCGUGAAAGCUCAUGGCUUAACUGUGGGUUUGCGGUGGGUACGGGCUGGCGUGAGUGCAGUAGGGGAGGCUGGAAUUCCUGUUGUAGCGGUGGAAUGCGCAGAUAUCAGGAGGAAUACCGGUGGCGAAGGCGGGUCUCUGGGCUGUUACUGACACUGAGGAGCGAAAGCAUGGGGAGCGAACAGG
rnacentral:rRNA from 1 species